rnacentral:rRNA from 11 species
UAUUGUUAGCUUAAAUGUCCUAAAGGCACCAGGCCCUGUCUGAUCUUGGAAGCUAAGCAGGGCCUGACCUGCUUAGUACUUGGAUAGGAGACCACCAAGAAAUACCAAGGGUUGUAUCAGAGG